AAGUAAGCAAGCAACAGCACCGAGGGCGGAUGGGAGGAAAGAGUAAGCAGGAAGGUUGAGAUCGGAGGCCACUUCGAAUGCUGCGCUGGUGCAGAAGAAGUCAACGAUAAUGGCGUUGAGUGUGUAGUUAUUGGAGAUGGUGAGAAGGGUGCGGCGGACAUCGGGGUUACUGAGGCGGAUGACGUCGAAGAGAAGGGGAUCUAAGCCAGUUGAGGUUAGAAGGAGGUCGACGGUGGGGAGGUAGUGGAAGGUGAUGGAAGGAGGAACGGGGGAGGGGACGGUGGAGGAAGGUUGUGAAGGAAGGGUGGCGAUGAGGAUGUGGAUAGAAAGGGAAGGGUGGUGAGUGAGGAGGAGCUUGGCGAACUCUACCAUGGGUGCCAGGUGAGUAAGCAUAGGUGCUGGGUACAUAACUAUGGCUUCCUCCAUUAGUGAU
rnacentral:lncRNA from 1 species